GAUAAAAAUUUUAUCUAAAAUUUGAAUUUUAAAUAUAUUAUAUAUAUAUUAUUAAAUGUAAUUUAAAAUAAACAAAUUUUUUUUGCUUAAUUUUAUGUUUAAAUAAUCAACUUUAUAUUAAAUAUCAGUCAAAAAUAAUAAAAUAUACAAUAUUAAUAAAUUUUAUUUUAAAUAUAAUUUAACUUUUAAAAAAUGUAUCACUGCACAUGAUGCAGGAAACACCUAGUAUGUAUGUAUAUGUAAUGCAGGGGAUCUCCCAAAACCGUACAUGACCGACCAAACGGGAUUGAACUAAACCGGGACUGUACCGAAAGUCUCAAGAACGUAACACUAAAAAGUUCAGUUGUGGAAUCUGCUCGUCAUCCUCUGCUUGUGAACUAGACUCUGCUUUACCUUAUUUCACCAGAGCUUGCAGAUAUUUUGUGGUAUUCAUGUAAAUAAUGUUUUUCUCCUCUGAAAGUUAUUCACCAAUCUAAAGCUAUUUACGACCGUUAGACCAACUUCUGUUUUUCAUUCCAGGUCUCUUGAGUUGCGGUUUCUGAGCAGCACUACCACAUUGCUUUGGGAUCGUCUCAAGUACUUGUAUUGUUCGCUGCUUCUUGGCUGUUGACAAUAUCACAAAACAUUUUCUUGGUUUGUUAAUUUUUUUUUCAAGAAAGUAAUUAAAAAGUAGAAACAAACCUU